AGAGGAGUGGCAGAGUGGUCGAAUGCGGCGGUCUUGAAAACCGUUGUACCGCAAGGUACCGGGGGUUCGAAUCCCUCCUCCUCUG
rfam:Fulvivirga imtechensis AK7 contig55, whole genome shotgun sequence.